rnacentral:misc_RNA from 1 species
GAUGAAGAACUUAGCAAAAUGCGAUAAGUAAUGUGAAUUGCAGAAUUCAGUGAAUCAUCGAAUCUUUGAACGCACAUUGCGCCCGCUGGUAUUCCGGCGGGCAUGCCUGUUCGAGCGUCAUUUCAACCCUCAAGCCCCCGGGUUUGGUGUUGGGGAUCGGCUCUGCCUUCUGGCGGUGCCGCCCCCGAAAUACAUUGGCGGUCUCGCUGCAGCCUCCAUUGCGUAGUAGCUAACACCUCGCAACUGGAACGCGGCGCGGCCAUGCCGUAAAACCCCAACUUCUGAAUGUUGACCUCGGAUCAGGUAGGAAUACCCGCUGAACUUAAGCAUAUCGAUAAGCGGAGGA